UGUGGGGGGCAGCUACACAUGCAAGUCGAACGGCAGCACGGCAGUAGCAAUACUGUGGGUGGCGAGUGGCGGACGGGUGAGGAAUACAUGGGAAUCUGCCCUGUCGUGGGGGAUAACGUAGGGAAACUUACGCUAAUACCGCAUACGACCGGAAGGUGAAAGCGGCGGACCGCAAGGCGUCGCGCGACUGGAUGAGCCCAUGUCGGAUUAGCUAGUUGGCGGGGUAAAGGCCCACCAAGGCGACGAUCCGUAGCUGGUCUGAGAGGAUGAUCAGCCACACUGGAACUGAGACACGGUCCAGACUCCUACGGGAGGCAGCAGUGGGGAAUAUUGGACAAUGGGCGCAAGCCUGAUCCAGCCAUGCCGCGUGAGUGAAGAAGGCCUUCGGGUUGUAAAGCUCUUUUGUCCGGAAAGAAAAGCCUUCGGUUAAUACCCGGGGGUGAUGACGGUACCGGAAGAAUAAGCACCGGCUAACUUCGUGCCAGCAGCCGCGGUAAUACGAAGGGUGCAAGCGUUACUCGGAAUUACUGGGCGUAAAGCGUGCGUAGGUGGUUCGUUAAGUCUGAUGUGAAAGCCCUGGGCUCAACCUGGGAAUGGCAUUGGAAACUGGCGACCUAGAGUGCGGUAGAGGGUAGUGGAAUUCCCGGUGUAGCAGUGAAAUGCGUAGAGAUCGGGAGGAACAUCCGUGGCGAAGGCGACUACCUGGACCAGCACUGACACUGAGGCACGAAAGCGUGGGGAGCAAACAGGAUUAGAUACCCUGGUAGUCCACGCCCUAAACGAUGCGAACUGGAUGUUGGGUGCAACUAGGCACUCAGUAUCGAAGCUAACGCGUUAAGUUCGCCGCCUGGGGAGUACGGUCGCAAGACUGAAACUCAAGGAAUUGACGGGGGCCCGCACAAGCGGUGGAGUAUGUGGUUUAAUUCGAUGCAACGCGAAGAACCUUACCUGGGCUUGACAUCCACGGAACUUUCCAGAGAUGGAUUGUGCCUUCGGGAACCGUGAGACAGGUGCUGCAUGGCUGUCGUCAGCUCGUGUUCGUGAGAUGUUGGGUUA
rnacentral:rRNA from 1 species